AUUGAACGCUGGCGGCAGGCCUACACAUGCAAGUCGAACGGUAACAGGGAGAAGCUUGCUUCUUUGCUGACGAGUGGCGGACGGGUGAGUAAUGUCUGGGAAACUGCCUGAUGGAGGGGGAUAACUACUGGAAAAGGUAGCUAAUACCGCAUAACGUCGCAAGACCAAAGAGGGGGACCUUCGGGCCCCUUGCCAUCGGAUGUGGCCAGAUGGGAUUAGCUAGUAGGUGGGGUAACGGCUCACCUAGGCGACGAUCCCUAGCUGGUCUGAGAGGAUGACCAGCCACACUGGAACUGAGACACGGUCCAGACUCCUACGGGAGGCAGCAGUGGGGAAUAUUGCACAAUGGGCGCAAGCCUGAUGCAGCCAUGCCGCGUGUAUGAAGAAGGCCUUCGGGUUGUAAAGUACUUUCAGCGGGGAGGAAGGGAGUAAAGUUAAUACCUUUACUCAUUGACGUUACCCGCAGAAGAAGCACCGGCUAACUCCGUG
rnacentral:rRNA from 1 species